rnacentral:rRNA from 1 species
UCCGUAGGCGGUGUGGUAAGUCGAUAGUGAAAUCUCUGGGCUUAACCCAGAGGCUGCUAACGAAACUGCCAUGCUAGAGUGUGAGAGAGGCGAGUGGAAUUACGGGUGUAGCGGUGAAAUGCGUAGAUAUCCGUAGGAACAUCCGAGGCGAAGGCGGCUCGCUGGAUCACAACUGACGCUGAGGGACGAAAGCUAGGGGAGCAAACAGGAUUAGAUACCCUGGUAGUCCUAGCCCUAAACCAUCAGGACUUGGGGUUUGCCUGUACGGGGCAAGUCCCGUAGCUAACGCGUUAAGUCCUGCGCCUGGGGAGUACGGUCGCAAGGCGUGAA